rnacentral:rRNA from 1 species
GUACACUCCUACGGGAGGCAGCAGUGGGGAAUAUCGCACAAUGGGCGCAAGCCUGAUGCAGCCAUGCCGCGUGUAUGAAGAAGGCCUUCGGGUUGUAAAGUACUUUCAGCGGGGAGGAAGGCGAUAAGGUUAAUAACCUUGUCGAUUGACGUUACCCGCAGAAGAAGCACCGGCUAACUCCGUGCCAGCAGCCGCGGUAAUACGGAGGGUGCAAGCGUUAAUCGGAAUUACUGGGCGUAAAGCGCACGCAGGCGGUCUGUCAAGUCGGAUGUGAAAUCCCCGGGCUCAACCUGGGAACUGCAUUCGAAACUGGCAGGCUAGAGUCUUGUAGAGGGGGGUAGAAUUCCAGGUGUAGCGGUGAAAUGCGUAGAGAUCUGGAGGAAUACCGGUGGCGAAGGCGGCCCCCUGGACAAAGACUGACGCUCAGGUGCGAAAGCGUGGGGAGCAAACAGGAUUAGAUACCCGGGUAGUCCCAUG